rnacentral:rRNA from 1 species
CCUACGGGUGGCAGCAGUGGGGAAUAUUGGACAAUGGGGGAAACCCUGAUCCAGCGACGCCGCGUGAGUGAAGAAGUAUUUCGGUACGUAAAGCUCUAUCAGCAGGAAAGAAAAUGACGGUACCUGACUAAGAAGCCCCGGCUAACUACGUGCCAGCAGCCGCGGUAAUACGUAGGGGGCAAGCGUUAUCCGGAUUUACUGGGUGUAAAGGGAGCGCAGACGGCUGUGCAAGUCUGGAGUGAAAGGCGGGGCCCAACCCCCGGACUGCUCUGGAAACUGUAAAGCUGGAGUGCAGGAGAGGUAAGCGGAAUUCCUAGUGUAGCGGUGAAAUGCGUAGAUAUUAGGAGGAACACCAGUGGCGAAGGCGGCUUACUGGACUGCAACUGACGUUGAGGCUCGAAAGCGUGGGAAGCAAACAGGAUUAGAUACCCCAGUAGUC